CCUACCCAAAUCAAUCUCAUUGUUUCGGCAUGCCUCUUCUUCAUGUUCAUUUUUUUUUAGGGUUUUUCUAUCUGCAAGCUAAUUUGCUGUUUGAUCCGUGGUUUUUAUUUUUUUAUUUUUUAUUUUUUUUUUUGCAGAUCAAAGCAAGAACCGCACACGAUUAACAGUGCCUCUCUCAUUUGAGAGCAGCUUCGAUGAAAGCAAGAACUGCACACGAUUAACAGUACCUCUCUCAUACUGAAGCAGCUUCGAUCAAAGCAAGAACUGCACACCAUUAACAACGCCUCUUUCAUUCGAGAGCAGCUUCGCAGGUUAUUUAUUUGCACGAUGCUGCUGUAUACCAUACCAGAUUACCAAAAUCACGUAACUAUAGGCAUACUUCUUAUUUUCCAUUCCUCACACAUAUCACAAUAUGCAACACUCAUGGAUCACGACCAACUCUUUGAUUUCUUUUCCGGUUGCACCAGUAUUGUUAAGUGGCCAUCUAUAUCAGAUGUGCAAGACACUCGUGGUUCAGAUGCUAGCAAAGAAGGUGGACACACUUCGGCACAAAUGAUUUUGUUGAGAACUGUUAGCUUUAUCAAGAUAAACCGGUAUUUUUUGGAGAACAUUUUUUUGGAGAACUUAAUAGCUGAUCUAAGACUCAAUACAUAUCCGAUACAUAUCGGAGUAAGUCGGAGUAAGUCGCAACUGCGAGUUACCAAACGCCACACGAAGGGGGGGAUUGCACGUGUUUUGAAUUUAGUUAGUAUGUAUCUGUUUAAUCUUUACUGCCCCCACAGAUCUAUGUGAUUAGACACGUAUAUCCUAACCCAAUUCAGUACCCUCCAUUAACAAUAACGUCCCGUUUCCGGCAUGCCUCUCUUCAAGAUCAUGUUCAUUUGUACCCUCCACUUGGACCCAUCGAAUAACUCUUUGCCGUUCAAUGCAGGAGUUUUUAUGAAGUUUUUUGCGUGUCUACUUUACGAAAGAUAAAGAGGACGGCUGAUGAGGUUCGGGCACAGUAGCAGAAUUAAAGAAUCCGGUCCAUGUGUUCAGUCAAUAUCUGCAUCAUCCAGCCUUUACAUGGUUUGAUGAAAAGAAAACAGAAAACCCAUGUUGGAUACUACAAGCAUUUAGUGAAUGCAUAAUUAGUUAUUAUGGCUUGCGUACGUUUUGACCAGCAAUUGGGUUCAACUGGAGAUACCUUUUUAAUGUUUCUCUUUUCUUUUUCAUUUUUUUGAUCAUUGGAUUUUGAUAGAUGGUAAAAGCAAUUUCUCUUCUAACCAUCUAUAUUUGUGCAGAACUACAGGUGCUUUUGAUAUCUUUACACCAACAGAAAAUAUUAAAGAAAUAUAGAGAAGAAAAUUCGGGACAAAUUAGCUUUUGGUGAAUGUACCAUUAACCCAGAAGAGGCAAGACUUUGUAGUCAUCUUACGUAUUCGAGAACUCUACACGCAUUAAUUGCUUUGUUGCUGGUGAACUUUUUGGCGGGGAUAGAUUUAUUACCUUUGCGAUCAAAAACAAAAUUAUUACCUAUCUUUGAAUUUGUAUUUUUGAUUCUUACCUAUUGGUUCGAUUGUUAUAGUGUCUGAAUGAUUGGGCUUCUCCUUUCGGUACAGGGUUAAUGUAUGAUGAUAAAAUUGACGUUGUGGUGUUUAUAGUUGUGUGGGUGCUUUGUACUAUGGUAGGAAAAUUUUGUGUUGUACUC